ACCGCUACAAAAGCAGCCUCCACGCGGCAGAUGGUGGGCAACAGCAUAUUUGCUGGCUAAUGCUUUU
rnacentral:ribozyme from 1 species